rnacentral:lncRNA from 1 species
AAUGAGUGAUUCAAUGAAUCACUCGUUAAGACAGGGACUUGCUGCCACCUACUGGUGGUUUUAAUGUCAUAUUGAUCCAUGGUAGGCCUAAACCAGCAAAGUACCAACACAAAAACACACUCAGCAAAAUAUUGUUACUGAAAAAAUCCCAAUAAAUGUCAGUGUAUCAUUUUUUUUGUCAGUAUCACACUCCCCUGUGACCCACAUGAGCUGCAAACAGAUGUUUAAUGAUGAUCAUGGUGUUCAGAGUGUCACAUUCAGUUCACACUGUCUCUGUUGAUUUCAGAUCAUUGAGAAGAGAAAGAAGAUGGAGGCAGAUGGGGUGGAUGUAAAACGGCCCAAAUAUUAAAGCUUCAAGGAAUCCUUCCAUCUGCAUGUAUAUGAUGCACGUGUUGAUUUGUGUUGUUUUUCUGAUUCUUCAUUAAUACAUUGGUAGAGAAAUGAUGUGUAAAGAUGUUCACUGUAAAACCCGACAAGUAACUUAACUCAAACCGUUUGAGUAAACAGAUAUCCUUAAAAACCUGACAAGUUAGGUUUACUCAAACCGUUUGAGGAAACCGAUUACCUUAAACACUGUAAAACCCGACAAGUAACGUAACUCAAACCUUUUGUGUAAACAAAUAUCCUUAAAAACAUGACAAGUUAGGUUUACUCAAACCGUUUGAGGAAACCGAUUGCCUUAAACCAUUUAAGUUUUAAAACUUAAUAGUUGUGAGUACUCUGAACUUAAUUCAGUUGAGUUCACUGAAAGAAGAUAUACAUUGCAAUUAAAUAAUUAAGUGAUUAAUUGAGUGAUAAUUGUGAUGAACACCUGCUGUUAACAAACAGAAUUACUGAAGAAAAGAGAAACACAAGAACUACAACUGACUUCAGACACAGCCUUAGAUAAAAUAAACUGAAAUAAAAUACAUUAAAUCUCUCAAGAUCUGAUUAAACAACCCCACAAACAGCAUCACCAGCUCCACUUAUUAAUAACCAGACUGACUUUAUUUCUGUCAGACGUCUACAGAAGAUCUGAUUGAGAAUUAACUAAGGUUUAGAUGUUGAUUUAUGUUUUCAUUUAAAGUAACCAUGUUAGAGAUCAGUGUUUGCUUUAGUUGGGCUCUUGACCCUUGAUUUCUGUCUUAGUUUUUCUUUGGCUGUUGUAACCAUUUGUUGUAACUCAAAAGCCCAGAGAAAAUAUCAUCAGGUGUUAUACACACUCACACACUCUUAGAAGCUGCUUUUAUCCAAAGCAACUUACAGGGCAUUCAGGUUAGCAUUUAGGUUUUUAUCUAACCUGUACCUAGAUGUUGGUUGUUAUACUGUGUAUUGGUGAUGACAAUCAUUGAUUAUUGAACUGUUUGGAGUCUAAUCUCUGAUGAAAUAGGUGUUGUGUAAUUAGUUGGAUUGAUUACAGUAAGAGUGAUUAUUUAUGUUUUCAUUUAAAGUAACCAUGUUAGAGAUCAGUGUUUGCUUAAGUUGGGCUCUUGACCCUUGAUUUCUGUCUUAGUUUUUUCUUUGGCUGUUGUAACCAUUUGUUGUAACUCAAAAGCCCAGAGAAAAUAUCAUCAGGUGUUAUACACACACUCACACUCUUAGAAGCUGCUUUUAUCCAAAGCAACUUACAGUACAUUCAGGUUAGCAUUUUUUUAUCUAACCUGUACCUAGAUGUUAGUUGUUAUACUGUAUAUUGGUGAUGAUAAUCAUUGAUUAUUGAACUGUUUGGAGUCUAAUCUCUGAUGAAAUAGGUGUUGUGUAAUUAGUUGGUUUUAUAGUAAAAGUGAUUCUAAGAGCCAGUGGUUCUGUAAUAAUCAGUUAAUAUAAAGAACUUUCCAAACAGUUUGGUUUUCUGUGGUGACACUUAGUCACACACAGACAUCAAUAAUCAGCAUAUGAACCUCAACAAUGGUGACCAUAAAAAAAAAAAUAAAUAAAAAAACAAUGCAGCAGAGCAUGCUGGGAGCCAUGGUGAGUUUUGUACUACAAUAGUACCCAGCAUGCAUUGCAGCAUGUUUUUUUUUUCAUAACCAUUGUUGAGGUUCAUAUUCUGAUUAUUGAUGUCUGUGUGUGACUAAAAUGGCUUUCAAUGGAAUCAACUGAGCUAACUAUAGAACAACCUAUUUAGUAAGAUUAUGAGC